AAUUUAACUUGGGAGUCAGAACAUGGGUGAUAAGGUCCGUGUUCGAAAGGGAAACAGCCCAGACCACCAGCUAAGGUCCCAAAAUAUAUGUUAAGUGGAAAAGGAUGUGGCGUUGCCCAGACAACUAGGAUGUUGGCUUAGAAGCAGCCAUCAUUUAAAGAGUGCGUAAUAGCUCACUAGUCGAGUGACACUGCGCCGAAAAUGUACCGGGGCUAAACAUAUUACCGAAGCUGUGGAUUGUCCGUAGGACAAUGGUAGGAGAGCGUUCUAAGGGCGUUGAAGCAUGAUCGCAAGGACAUGUGGAGCGCUUAGAAGUGAGAAUGCCGGUGUGAGUAGCGAAAGACGGGUGAGAAUCCCGUCCACCGAUUGACUAAGGUUUCCAGAGGAAGGCUCGUCCGCUCUGGGUUAGUCGGG
rnacentral:rRNA from 1 species